GAUGAACGCUAGCGAUAGGCUUAACACAUGCAAGUCGAGGGGCAGCAUGGUCUUAGCUUGCUAAGGCUGAUGGCGACCGGCGCACGGGUGCGUAACGCGUAUGCAACUUGCCUCACAGAGGGGGAUAACCCGUCGAAAGACGGACUAAUACCGCGUACACUCUAUGUUGGGCAUCCAAUGUAGAGGAAAUGAAAUUCGCUGUGAGAUAGGCAUGCGUCCCAUUAGCUAGUUGGUGAGGUAACGGCUCACCAAGGCGACGAUGGGUAGGGGAACUGAGAGGUUGAACCCCCACACUGGUACUGAGACACGGACCAGACUCCUACGGGAGGCAGCAGUGAGGAAUAUUGGUCAAUGGGCGAGGGCCUGAACCAGCCAAGUCGCGUGAAGGAUGACUGUCUUAUGGAUUGUAAACUUCUUUUAUACGGGAAUAACAAGAGUCACGUGUGGCUCCCUGCAUGUACCGGAUGAAUAAGCAUCGGCUAACUCCGUG
rnacentral:rRNA from 1 species